GAUGAACGCUGGCGGCGUGCCUAAUACAUGCAAGUAGAACGCUGAAGCUUGGUGCUUGCACCGAGCGGAUGAGUUGCGAACGGGUGAGUAACGCGUAGGUAACCUGCCUGGUAGCGGGGGAUAACUAUUGGAAACGAUAGCUAAUACCGCAUGACAACAGUUAUUGCAUGAUAACUGUUUAAAAGGGGCAACUGCUCCACUACCAGAUGGACCUGCGUUGUAUUAGCUAGUUGGUGAGGUAACGGCUCACCAAGGCGACGAUACAUAGCCGACCUGAGAGGGUGAUCGGCCACACUGGGACUGAGACACGGCCCAGACUCCUACGGGAGGCAGCAGUAGGGAAUCUUCGGCAAUGGACGGAAGUCUGACCGAGCAACGCCGCGUGAGUGAAGAAGGUUUUCGGAUCGUAAAGCUCUGUUGUAAGAGAAGAACGAGUGUGAGAGUGGAAAGUUCACACUGUGACGGUAUCUACCAG
rnacentral:rRNA from 1 species